UGGACUCGUUAUUGUUUUUGUCUCCAUCUGGUGGUUUAAAUGUGAACUGCAUGAUUACCUGAUUCUUCCCAGAAAUCAAGUAACUGAAAAGAAAGGAUGUUUCUGUUCAAACUUUCUGCUUUAUUUAGAGGGAACUGUUCAUGAAUUUCCUCUGCUGGUUUUAAUCCUGAUUUUGUUUUUUUAGUUUUAAAAUCAAAUGUUUUCAUCUGACUGAUGCUAAGAGUUCCUCAUCCUCAUUCCUCAUGCUGUGGUUGUUGGUAUUGCUUCACUUCAAUUUUUUACAGGUUGUUCCACUUUACAACACCAUUCAUCCUGAGGGCACAUGAUAAACAUAUAGAGCAUCAGAUACUUUAUUAGGAAAAUCAGUUUUUACAACCGUAACUUCCUUCUAAACUCUUAACUUCUUGAGUUCAACAUGGCCAGAAUUGGUUAAAAUUGCCUGCUGUUUGUUUAAACUGUAUGUGAAAUUAACCUAUUUAGAGAAGUUGUUAAUACUUCCCCACUGAAAUAAAAAUUGUCUUUUGUAAAAACUUGUAGUAUUUCUUCAUAUAUGUCUGGAAACUGAAAACUAAAAAUAAUUUCAUGMAAAAUGUAUUAUUUGCAACCUAAAUAUGUGAAGCAGGUAUGAAACAUUAACUGCACAUAAAUUAUUGACUAAAUAUUGUCCUAUCUGUUGCUGGCAAGCGUAAUAAACUUUAUCAACAGAAGCCACGCCCACUCCUUCCUAUCUAAGUGCUGCAUUUACUUUCACUUUGAACCAGAAUGUGACGCAGAUGAUUCCCUCCAUAAAAAACCUCCAUUUUAAGGUGAAGCAGUGAGACGUAGUGAACAUGGAUCAGUGUGACGACGGAGUCCCUCCGACUAAAGCCUCUCUGAAGAGGUGGCAGGAGGACCAGAGGAAUGAAUCUGAAYCAGAACCUGGACCAGAACCCAGCUGUGUGUCCUUCCAGAGUUACAAGUCAACUGGACGAUUAAUUGAUUUUAAAUCAGAUGAACCUCCAGYUUUAAAGAGGAGGAAACAUGGAUCUGAACCAGAACCCAGCCUGGUGUCGUUGAAGAGUGACCAGUCAAGUGGACGUUUAAUUGAUUUGAAAUCAAAUCAACCUUCUACAAAGAGGUAAGUGUGAUGGCCAACUCGUAUUAAAUACUGAGAAGGGUGACCAUCAUCCGGCCACGCCCCGGCCCAGUCRCAGAAAGCUCUCCUCGUCGACUGGAGUCGGACUGUUUUGUUCACAUUCCAUUUAGUGGAGCUCCAUCUAGUGGAUGCAUAACGUAACUCC